UGGAGAAGUAAAAAAGAUGGAGCCAUCUGCUGCCAAGAGAGGAGAAGCAACUAUGAUUUGAUUUGCUCAGUGCCCACUCGUAUACUGGAGACCAGGAAGACAGCCAGGAAGGUGACGCAUGAUCUGGACUCAAUGCUCUGUUUAUAGGAGCUUCCUUCUUUCAGAGAACCAUGUGUGUCAGGUGCUUUCAAUCUUGCUGGGGAUGAUCUAGUUUAAUCAAUCCAAUAUUGAAAUUCCUCAUCACUAUCCCAGGGGAACAAAAGACAAAAUAAUUUUCUUUCUUAUUUCCAUCAAGUUGAAGGGAGGAUGCAGAUGUGACAGGAACAAGGUGAGAAUGUUUGAAACUCAUAUGCUAUCUGCCCAGGGCACUGAAAGCCAAAUCUGUCCCAGCUGAGACAGCAUAUGUAAUGCCGACAGGUGGAACCGAAUCUGGGACCUCUGGAGCUUAGUG